GGCGAACGCUGGCGGCGUGCCUAAUACAUGCAAGUCGAGCGAGCGGAACUAACAGAUUUACUUCGGUAAUGACGUUAGGAAAGCGAGCGGCGGAUGGGUGAGUAACACGUGGGGAAUCUGUCCCAUAGUCUGGGAUACCACUUGGAAACAGGUGCUAAUACCGGAUAAGAAAGCAGAUCGCAUGAUCAGCUUUUAAAAGGCGGCGUAAGCUGUCGCUAUGGGAUGGCCCCGCGGUGCAUUAGCUAGUUGGUAAGGUAAAGGCUUACCAAGGCGAUGAUGCAUAGCCGAGUUGAGAGACUGAUCGGCCACAUUGGGACUGAGACACGGCCCAAACUCCUACGGGAGGCAGCAGUAGGGAAUCUUCCACAAUGGACGCAAGUCUGAUGGAGCAACGCCGCGUGAGUGAAGAAGGUUUUCGGAUCGUAAAGCUCUGUUGUUGGUGAAGGAGGAUAGAGGUAGUAACUGGCCUUUAUUUGACGGUAAUCAACCAGAAAGUCACGGCUAACUACGUGCCAGCAGCCGCGGUAAUACGUAGGUGGCAAGCGUUGUCCGGAUUUAUUGGGCGUAAAGCGAGCGCAGGCGGAAGAAUAAGCCUGAUGUGAAAGCCCUCGGCUUAACCGAGGAACUGCAUCGGAAACUGUUUUUCUUGAGUGCAGAAGAGGAGAGUGGAACUCCAUGUGUAGCGGUGGAAUGCGUAGAUAUAUGGAAGAACACCAGUGGCGAAGGCGGCUCUCUGGUCUGCAACUGACGCUGAGGCCCGAAAGCAUGGGUAGCGAACAGGAUUAGAUACCCUGGUAGUCCAUGCCGUAAACGAUGAGUGCUAAGUGAUGGGGGGUUUCCGCCUCUCAGUGCUGCAGCUAACGCAUUAAGCACUCCGCCUGGGGAGUACGACCGCAAGGUUGAAACUCAAAGGAAUUGACGGGGGCCCGCACAAGCGGUGGAGCAUGUGGUUUAAUUCGAAGCAACGCGAAGAACCUUACCAGGUCUUGACAUCUAGUGCCAUUUGUAGAGAUACAAAGUUCCCUUCGGGGACGCUAAGACAGGUGGUGCAUGGCUGUCGUCAGCUCGUGUCGUGAGAUGUUGGGUUAAGUCCCGCAACGAGCGCAACCCUUGUUAUUAGUUGCCAGCAUUAAGUUGGGCACUCUAAUGAGACUGCCGGUGACAAACCGGAGGAAGGUGGGGAUGACGUCAAGUCAUCAUGCCCCUUAUGACCUGGGCUACACACGUGCUACAAUGGGCAGUACAACGAGAAGCGAGCCUGCGAAGGCAAGCGAAUCUCUGAAAGCUGUUCUCAGUUCGGACUGCAGUCUGCAACUCGACUGCACGAAGCUGGAAUCGCUAGUAAUCGCGGAUCAGCACGCCGCGGUGAAUACGUUCCCGGGCCUUGUACACACCGCCCGUCACACCAUGGGAGUCUGCAAUGCCCAAAGCCGGUGGCCUAACCUUCGGGAAGGAGCCGUCUAAGGCAGGGCAGAUGACUGGGGUGAAGUCGUAACAAGGUAGCCGUAGGAGAACC
rnacentral:rRNA from 1 species